AUCGCUGCCGGCGCUCUCCCUCCCUGCCCUCACUCCACUCUUUUUACGCACGGACUUCCGAGCUGGGGGAGUAAGGAUCGGAGUAAUGGAGGUGAGGUUGGAAAGAAUACAAAUACAAGAUAAUCUGUCCUGCCUUCUCCAACAAUAAGAAAUCUCUCCUAAGAAGGCUCAAAACGUCGCAGAUGUUGUGGCACGAACUUUACAGCCUCUUUCCUAGAGCAGAGAAGCCGCUGCUUGGCUCCCCACAGCUCCAUAUCUCCUUCUCCGCAGAGCCGGCAGUUUGAAGUGUUUCUCCUUCACACAGACGCUUCCUCCCCUCCCCGAGAGCAUGCCUUUCCUCAAACUGGUUACUCCUGUUGGAAAUUGGAAAAUCAAUGCUUGUUUAGCAUCUUCCGUGAGAUGAUGCACUGUCGAAACUCACAGCAAGGGAACCCGCACCAUCUGACUCUUGGGCGGGGAAGGCGUUGCCCCAGUCCCUGUAGAAUUUACAUAGAAAUUUACAAUGAAUAAUACUCGUGAGCGCCCCUGAAAAUAUAUACUGUGGCUAGUAGCAUUAUUAUAAGCCCCGAGACACACCUCCUACGUAUUCUCUGGUAGUGGUUGAAGUUUGCUUAAAUGAUUGAUCAGAAGCUUGAACCGUGUUUAUUCUUUCUGUUUUCUUAAACCGCAUCUUGGAUGGUUUCCUGUCAGUUUUCAGAUGCCAUUUGCAGCACAGACAGAUUUCGUAUGCCUACUGCAGAUUGUCUUCAAAGUUCUAGUUUAAAGAGCAUUAUGUAAGCCUCUCUCUAUUUACAUAAGAGCUUUAACUCAAACCUCUCAGAAAAUCAUUUAUUACCAACGGAAACCCAUCCAGGGGAGCAGCAUAACCGACCUGUAUCUUUAUGACACUUUCAAGAACAGCAGUAGUUCAUUCUUUUCGGGAAGAAAAAAGUGUAUGUACCAAAGAAUUGGCAUAUUUUGCAUUUUUAUUCAGCUUGGUUUUAGAUCAUUUGAGCAUUAUUCCUAAGCUUAAUUCAGGCAGUGCAGACAUUUAUAGGAUACACUUUUUCUCUGUGUUGGUUACCACUUAACUAGGCCACAGAGAUGAUCCUGUCUCCCUUCCUUGAAUGUAAUCCCAAUGUGAGAGCAAAAGUGUUUUAAUAGAAUCAAGUACAAAUUUUUACUGAUGUCUAAAUCAUUAAAAGAAUUUGUGAAUACAUAAUCACUGUAAGCAAAGGUCAAGCAAUAAUAAAUUACACAUAAUAAAAAGUUCUCUUUACUUUUUCAUUUCUUCUUCUUAAACCACUUUCACCCUCAUCCCAUUUCCCUUAAUUGGCUUCCCUCCCUCCCUCCCUCCCUUCCUUCCUUCCUUCCUUCCUUCCUUCCUUCCUUCCUUCUUUCUCCUUCCAUCUACUCACUAAUCUUUUGGGAGGAUUUUUAUUGUUGUAUAUUGUUGUAAUUCCUUUUUGAUAAAUAGGACUGUUGAAAUAAAAAACUUAAUUAUAAUGAGUUCAAAACUAGUGCCUGUAAGGAAAACCAAUAUCUUGCUUCAGAUACUGGGAAGCUAGCUUUAAGGUAUUGUUCUCUAUUCUUACUGCAUUAACUGGGGGAAAAGUGACUUUUAGGCACUGGCACUUUCAUGUUAUUAAGAAAGAUUAAGGGUCCUAUGAACUUCUUUGCUUAACUAUUAGACAUUAGAAGGUGAAAAUACUUCAAGUUAAUUCUUAGAAACUGACAGUCUUCUCAGUGACCAUCUUUAGUCAAUGUCCCCUCUCCUUGUAUAUUGGGAAAAAUGUCAUUCUCCAACCAACUCUCCAAUAUGGAACUUGUCUUGUUGGCAGAAAGGACUAGAUUCUCAAACAUCUUCUCACAGGAUGCCCUUGGAAGAUGUAGUAAAGUGGUAUCGUUGGUAGUGUUCUUACCAAGAGAAAUUGUGAAUCAGGUAGGUAUGUUUGGAAUAUUCUAUCACUGGUCACCCCUUUUGUAAUUUUUCUCUAACACAUAAGUUCCAGGUCUGCCUUUUGUGACAUUUCUAGCCAUUUGGACACUUCUUUCUGAGGAACUCCUCACUGUUGCCUUCCACAUUCUCAUCACAAAUCAGAUAAGGUAAUUAAUAGUAAGGUGUUAAAAGUUGAUAAGUGAUAAAAGACAUUUGCCUAUUUUUCCAAAUAAGCUUGGAGGGUCCAUGUUAAGGUCCCAAACAAUAAAUCUCAGUAGUGUAAUUGGAAUUUUAGGACUGUAGUUAGCAGAUGGAAAAGAUAUUUUAGGAAGGAGAAAUUUGAAGCAUUCUUAAAAUAUAGCCACAUGGCCAUGAGUCACCUUCUUUGUCCUCGCUUUUAAGACCAGCUCUACCUCUGUGAGCUACUCAGACUUGACAUAUCCGAUGUAAAAACAGUGCUAUUGUGUGUGUGUUAUUAGUGAUUGUGCAGAAUUAGAAAAGUUUUAAUGAAUUUGAUAUUGUAUUGAAGAAUCACUCUAGCUCUUCUAGUAAUAAUCUCAGUAGAACUGACCCUAGUCAGGGAGAACCACUCAUCAUUGACCAAUGUGUUUGUUUCUGUCAGCUUUUUCGCUGCCAUGACUAAAAGACUUGACCAGAACAAUUGCAGAGAAAAAAAAGUUUAUUUGAGGGCUCAUGGUUUCAGAGGUCCAAGUUCACAGAUAGCUUGCUUCCUUCCUCUGGGCUGGAGGUAAAGCAGAACAACAUGGUGAAAGAAUGUGGCAGAGGGAAGUGGCUCUGUAUUGAUCAGUAAGCAGAAAAAGACUCCACUUUCAAGAUACAUACCCCAAAGGCAUAUCCCCAAUGACCCACCUCCUUCAGCCACACCCUAUCUCCCUUCAGCCACCACCCAGUUAAUCCCAUCAUAGGAUGGAUUCACUGAUUGAUAAAAUUGAUAUUAUGUUGAAUAUGCCAUUUUACUUCUUGUUUUUCACUCAGUACUCUGUAUGGAUUAUUCUUUAUGAUUUCUGUAUUGUUAUAUGUAUGACUAACCUGUGUUUCUGCUUAUCAUGCAGCUCUCCAUCAUGUAUGUAUCAGUCAAGUUCCAUUAGGCAAAAAAGAAACCAUACUAGGUGAUUUAAUACAGUGUUUAAGAAUUCUGAGAUCAUAAUAUAUAUGAAGGAAUGUGAAGGACGGUGACGUUGUGUGAGGAGAUGGAGAUGAAAGUAAAUAUGACUGUGGCUCUCACAGCCUAUGAGCUCUCAGCCUGGUGGGUGAAGAUAAACUCGUAAUGUCAUGGAAGAAAUGGACAAGUAACCAGAUGAUCAUAAUUCAGCGUGAAAAGUCCUAUUAUGGAAGUGAGUGUGGGGAGUGAUGAUUCUUCUAUACAUUUUAUAGAUGAAGAAUCUGUCUCGAAUGUUAAUGGAUUUGCCCAACAUCAUGGAUAGGUAGGUGAUAGAGCCACCGUACAAAUUUAGAUCUGUCAGAUUUGUCUAAUCUAAACCAAUAUACUAUGCCUCCCAACUGAGGGCAAAAGUCAGAAAUGGGACUAUUUAUUUUCAUUAUCUUAGAAGGGAAUUCACAAUGUUUUUUUUUUUUUUAAUUUUCUAAUAUUGCAAACCACUCAGAUGAAUAUUUGCAAGUGAAAAAUUAUAACACCAAAAAGUCAGAUAAGAAAAAAAAAACCUGGGCUGGGGAUGUGGCUCAAGCGGUAGCGCGCUGGCCUGGCAUGCGUGCGGCCCGGGUUCGAUCCUCAGCACCACAUACAAACGAAGAUGUUGUGUCC